rnacentral:rRNA from 1 species
UGGGGAAUAUUGGACAAUGGGCGAAAGCCUGAUCCAGCCAUGCCGCGAGUGUGAAGAAGGUCUUCGGAUUGUAAAGCACUUUAAGAUGGGAGGAAGGGCAGUAAGCGAAUACCUUGCUGUUUUGACGUUACCGACAGAAUAAGCACAGGCUAACUCUGUGCCAGCAGCAGCGGUAAUACAGAGGGUGCAAGCGUUAAUCGGAAUUACUGGGCGUAAAGCGAGCGUAGGUGGUUCGUUAAGUUUAAUGUGAAAGCCACGGGCUCAACCUGGGAACUUCAUCCAAAACUGGCGAUCUAGGUUAGUGCAGAGCGUGUUGGAAUUUCCUGUGUAGCGGUGAAGUGCGUAGAUAUAGGAAGUAACACCAGUAGCGUGGGCGACCACCUGGGCUCAUACUGACACUGAGGUGCGAAAGCGAGGGGAGCAAACAGG